AUUGUUGCUCGAGUUCUUGUUUAGAUCUUUUACAAUAAUGUGUAUCUUUAUUGGAGAUGUGCGCUUAAUUGCGCUGCUUCAUUAGAGUGUCGCAGUAGAAGUAGUCUUGCUUGAAUCUCAGUCAACGUUUACACACAUUGGAGUUUUUUACUUUAAUUUAAUUCUUUCUGCUUUGAAUCGAAAGGUUCAAGGCAAAAAACAAACACAAACAAUUUUAUUUUAUUAUAAUUUUUUAAACUAAACCAAAAUUCCUAACGGAAAUUUUAAAAUAAUUUAAAACUUUCAACAACGGAUCUCUUGGUUCUCGCAUCGAUGAAGAACGUAGCGAAUUGCGAUAAGUAAUGUGAAUUGCAGAUACUCGUGAAUCAUUGAAUUUUUGAACGCACAUUGCGCCCUUGAGCAUUCUCAAGGGCAUGCCUGUUUGAGCGUCAUUUCCUUCUCAAAAGAUAAUUUUUUAUUUUUUGGUUGUGGGCGAUACUCAGGGUUAGCUUGAAAUUGGAGACUGUUUCAGUCUUUUUUAAUUCAACACUUAGCUUCUUUGGAGACGCUGUUCUCGCUGUGAUGUAUUUAUGGAUUUAUUCGUUUUACUUUACAAGGGAAAUGGUAAUGUACCUUAGGCAAAGGGUUGCUUUUAAUAUUCAUCAAGUUUGACCUCAAAUCAGGUA
rnacentral:rRNA from 1 species